GACGAACCGAGCGAACGUUGUUCGGAAUCACUGGGCUUAAAGGGCGCGUAGGCGGGCCGCCAAGUCCGUGGUGAAAUCCCCCGGCUCAACCGGGGAAGUGGCACUGAUACGAGCGGCCUGGAGGGAGGUAGGGGGGGCUGGAACUUCCGGUGGAGCGGUGAAAUGCGUUGAGAUCGGAAGGAACGCCCGUGGCGAAAGCGAGCCCCUGGACCUUUUCUGACGCUGAGACGCGAAAGCUAGGGGAGCGAACGGG
rnacentral:rRNA from 1 species